rnacentral:lncRNA from 1 species
UGGCCUCCCGAGCUAGUGGUCAUGGCUGCCUUGGCUUUGCUACAGGCUGUUUCAAUCGUAUCCCUCACAGUUGGUGCUGGUCCACUGUCUGUCUUCAACCCAACAGGCACAUUUAAGCUGAGGUCUGCCAGGCGUGGCUCUUCUGGGGAGCCAUUUGGAAACUGUGGACCUACAUAUACUGUUUCCAUUUUUUAAUGACUGAAGAAGACACUUCAGGACUCCAUGCUGCUCUUGGGAUGAAAAUUUCACCGGUGAGAAUAGAAGAUAUAAACCACAGAAGACUGAGAAUUUAAAUCUCAAAUUACCAUGUAUUUUGAGAUGCAGUUUGGUGGAAAGGGUCUUUCCAAAGCAGGGUGAAAGAAGACUUGUCUGACUUAUGUGAUGCCAAUAUUUGACCUUGUACUAUUUGUACCAGGUUGUUCCAUUGGAACUACUCUAAACUUCUCUAAUCUCUCACCUCCCUCAUCUGGACACUCCUCUCCUUCCCACGUAGCCUUAUUUCCAAACAAUCUCUUUCUUCAUAUGCUUCCUGUCCAAAAACUUCUUCAACCAAGCCCAGGAGAACAGAAUUCUCAAGAGCUACAGAAGUAUUGCAAGAGAGGCGAGAAAGAUGCGCUCCCACCAAGGCCUCAGUCACUGAAAAAUGAACCCAAAGAGGAAAGACAGCCCAAGGCAACCCAGCCACAUCCUGCUGCAGAGGAGAGCAGAGAAGAUGGCAAGAGAAGUGAGGAUCAAUGAGACCUGUAUGAUGAUAGGCUUUCAGAAGGAAGGACUAUGUUCAGCGUCCACUUCCUGAGCCCUGAAUGGAAGGUCUAAACUCAGUUUAUGCUGUCGUAUGCCAGAGAAGUCCUGGUGUACGCAGAACUUCAGGGGGUGAGAAUAUCCCCCAGGACCAUCAGGAAAUCCCAGACUGUUACUUUUCACCACCCAUCCAGAAAAGACAAUGCCAUCCCAACCAAUUGCAAUGGGCCAACACAUUCCUCAUUGCUCUGGCACCUACUCAUGCCAGUACCACUGUAUGGGGAGUUCAUGCCUCUGAGUGCCAGACCUUUUUUUCUCAGGAAUACAGUCACAGCUGCAGAUAGUAAAUUGAGCUAUCACUUUUUCUUCCUCAUUUCAUCCAGGUGCU